rnacentral:rRNA from 1 species
UAAUACGGAGGGUGCAAGCGUUAUCCGGAUUUACUGGGUUUAAAGGGUGUGUAGGCGGACUGGAAAGUCAGAGGUGAAAUCUCCGAGCUUAACUCGGAAACUGCCCCUGAUACUAUUAGUCUUGAAUAUCGUUGAGGUAGGCGGAAUACAACAUGUAGCGGUGAAAUGCUUAGAUAUGUUGUAGAACACCGAUUGCGAAGGCAGCUUACUAAACGAUGAUUGACGCUGAGGCACGAAAGCGUGGGGAUCAAACAGGAUUAGAUACCCUGGUAGUCCACGCCCUAAACGAUGAUUACUCGUCAUUGGCGAUACACUGUCAGUGACUAAGCGAAAGCAUUAAGUAAUCCACCUGGGAAGUACGUUCGCAAGAAUGAAACUCAAAUGAAUUGACGG